rnacentral:rRNA from 1 species
GACGAACGCUGGCGGCGUGCCUAAUACAUGCAAGUCGAACGCAGUGGGGACGGGUGAGUAACACGUGGGUAACCUCCCAUCAGAGGGGAUUACACUUGGAAACAGGUGCUAAACCGAUACUGAUGGAUGGACCCGCGAUGCAUUAGCUAGUUGGUGAGGUAACGGCUCACCCAGGCCACGAUGCAUAGGCGAUCGGAUAGGGGGAUCGGCCACACUGGGACUGAGAAACGGCCCAGACUCCUACGGGAGGCAGCAGUAGGGAAUUUUCGGCAAUGGACGAAAGUCUGACCGAGCAACGCCGCGGGGGUGAAGAAGGUUUUCGGGUCGUAAAACUCUGUUGUGAGGGAAGCGGUAUCUAACCAGAAAGCACCGGCUAACUACGUGCCAGCAGCCGCGGUAAUAC